rnacentral:rRNA from 1 species
CCUACGGGUGGCAGCAGUGAGGAAUAUUGGUCAAUGGACGCAAGUCUGAACCAGCCAUGCCGCGUGCAGGAUGACGGCUCUAUGAGUUGUAAACUGCUUUUGUACGAGGGUAAACCCCGAUACGUGUAUCGGGUUGAAAGUAUCGUACGAAUAAGGAUCGGCUAACUCCGUGCCAGCAGCCGCGGUAAUACGGAGGAUCCGAGCGUUAUCCGGAUUUAUUGGGUUUAAAGGGUGCGUAGGCGGUUUGAUAAGUUAGAGGUGAAAUGUCGGGGCUCAAACCCGGAACUGCCUCUAAUACUGUUAGACUAGAGUAUAGUUGAGGUAGGCGGAAUGUAUGGUGUAGCGGUGAAAUGCUUAGAGAUCAUACAGAACACCGAUUGCGAAGGCAGCUUACCAAACUCUAUCUGACGUUGAGGCACGAAAGCGUGGGUAGCAAACAGGAUUAGAUACCCUAGUAGUC